rnacentral:rRNA from 1 species
GACGUAGGAGGCGAGCGUUGUCCGGAUUCAUUGGGCGUAAAGAGCACGCAGGCGGUUUGGCAAGUCGGAUGUGAAAACCCGAAGCUCAAUUUCGGGCCUGCAUCCGAAACUGCCCGACUAGAGUGAUGUAGGGGAGACUGGAAUUCCUGGUGUAGCGGUGAAAUGCGCAGAUAUCAGGAGGAACACCGAUGGCGAAGGCAGGUCUCUGGGCAUUAACUGACGCUGAGGAGCGAAAGCAUGGGGAGCGAACAGG